GGGAGGUGCUGGAGCUGGAGGAUGGGGAGGCCACAACGCUCACUGGUUCCAUGGUGACCACGGACCAUCAGGUGUGACCAACGGACACGGAGCUGCUGGACCUUCUGGAGUAGUCACUGGCCACGGAGCCGCUGGACCCAGCGGUGUAGUCAACGGACACGGUGCCGUUGGACCAACUGGACCCAACCAUGGUGAUGAACAUGACUACGGACACGGAUGGGG
rnacentral:misc_RNA from 1 species